GAUGUGGAAGGCAAUGAUACACUCUGCCUGGGGUCCUUAAUUAGAAGAUUUAGACCAAAACUGCUAGAUGCCACAAACACUAUGCUUAAUCUUGAACAAUGAAUUUCUUCGGUUAUUUUGCAAAGUUUGACUUCAAAAGUUAUUCAUGCUGGAGAAUUGUAAGGAUGAUUGUAAAAUUCUGAUGAAGCCUUUACAAAGCUUAUGAUUUUCAAGCCUAUUGCCUACGGGUAUGGUUUGUGGAGACUAGAAGGAAGCUGCGAUUUCAGAGCGCUCCCGAACUUUGGUGGACAUCAGCAACCCUUAUACUGUACAUGAUAAGCUGUGCAAUAAGGUGAGUGAGGAGGCAAACAGCUCAUAAACCAUGGAUUGUUUGAAAGGGCAAUGGCAGAUUAGCUAUUCAUGUCUGCCCAUGUUUCCGUUCUGAAAUGCCCCAUUCUUCACCUCCAGCUCCGAGCAAGCUGACUUUUUCAUCUUCACCGAAGAGGAAUUAGAUUGGUUACAAUGAUCAAACAAAGCAAUUCCAUUUGUCAGAUCACUUCCUUGCUGUCCGUGUUGUGAUAUUCUUUGCAGAAUCUCUCAUUCGCACACGCUUUCUUUGUUCAGUAGCAGAAGAUAUUCAGUUGAUUUUUGUGACAGCUAAAGGGACAGACAUUUUGUAUGCAAAAUGAGUAAUUCUUCUGCCAUACAAUCUUGAAAACAAAAGGCAGGAUCCUUGUAGCCUAAUGAAACAACUUCCUUUAAGCGCAAGCGAUGAGUCUUUCAAAAAGAUUUGCAGCACAUGAUGUACGAUUUUGGCAAUGAUCCUAAUAUUCAGCUGAUUGCUGUCGUCACUUGUUGUUCAUUGAGGUUACUUCUUGUUCAUUCGGUUGACUCUAGCCAAUUGGUUUUGGGGGAUUUUGUGAAUUUGCCACUUCCAGAAACUUUGACACUUGUGGAGUACAUAGUUGUGGAAUAUUUCACAAAUUUGAAUGUGUAGAGUUCUAAAGAAGAUUAAGGCCAUUCUUUGUGUGCAAGCUGGAAUUUGUUUGUAUUUCUUCAGAUAGACUGCAGCUCCAUAUUCCUGAAGAUGAAGAGGAUGUUUCGUUCAGCUAUCUUCAUUGAUAUUGUCUUGAAAUUUGGUUGAAUGGGCUGGAGAAUUAUGGGGAUGUUUGUGAAAUUUUGCUGAAGCCCUUUCAAAGCUUAUGAUUUUCAAGCCUAGUGCCUAUAGGCAUGGUUUGUGGAGACUAGAAGGAAGCUGUGAUCUCAAGUUAUCAAAGUUUUCUUAAAAUCCAGUCAGUUGUGUUCGGUGGACAGUUGCUCUUCUUCUAAUAAGGCAUGGAGCUCCAUUUUGAUUUGGAAGCCAAUGAUCGAUACACUCCCUUAUUAAAGAGUUGUCUUAUGAAGCCACUAACAAGAUUCGUAUUGCUUCACCUCCUUAAAGAGCUAUAAAUGACAGAGCUUCCAGAUCCUAAUGUAAAGCCAUAAUCCUAAAAUGAGAUGGAGAGUUGAAGCACAACAAUGCAUGCAUUCAGCACUUAAAAAUCGAUGGUUGUUUACUUCUCAAAAAUAUUCAUUGUAAGAACCCAAUUUCCUUCAUCUCUAAACCCCUCUUGGUAGAAAAUUUCUAAUAAGAGGUUAGAGCUUGGGAUAAUAGAGAGGAUACUUAUAAUUGAUGGGGCUACCACAUUCUUUCCAGAACAAGAUAUUUCCCACCUAACAUCACCUUCUGUUUAUGUUUAAGCACAAAAUUCGUGGAUGACUUAUGCAGUGAUGAAGGUUGUUUGUGGGAUUGGAUCGAUAUUUGAAAUGAG